GAAAAGAAACCAACAGGGAUUGCCCUAGUAACGGCGAGUGAAGCGGCAACAGCUCAAAUUUGAAAUCUGGCUUCGGCCCGAGUUGUAAUUUGCAGAGGAUGUUUUUGGCGCGGUGCCUUCCGAGUUCCCUGGAACGGGACGCCACAGAGGGUGAGAGCCCCGUAUGGUCGGAUACCAAGCCUGUGUAAAACUCCUUCAACGAGUCGAGUAGUUUGGGAAUGCUGCUCUAAAUGGGAGGUAAAUCUCUUCUAAAGCUAAAUACCGGCCAGAGACCGAUAGCGCACAAGUAGAGUGAUCGAAAGAUGAAAAGCACCUUGAAAAGGGGGUUAAACAGUACGUGAAAUUGUUGAAAGGGAAGCGUUUGUGACCAGACUUGGGCCGGGCGGCUCAUCAGGGGUUCUCCCCUGUGCACUCCGCCCGGUACAGGCCAGCGUCGGUUUUCGCCGGGGGAUAAGAACUGUGGGAACGUAGCUUUUCUUCGGGAGAGUGUUAUAGCCCGCGGUACGAUACCCUGGCUGGGGACCGAGGUUCGCGCUCCGCAAGGACGCUGGCGUAAUGGUCACUAGCGACCCGUCUU
rnacentral:rRNA from 1 species